rnacentral:rRNA from 1 species
UACGAAGGGGGCUAGCGUUGUUCGGAAUUACUGGGCGUAAAGCGUGCGCAGGCGGUUUUGUAAGCCAGAUGUGAAAUCCCCGGGCUCAACCUGGGAAUGGCAUUUGGGACUGCAAGGCUUGAGUGCGGCAGAGGAGACUGGAAUUCCUGGUGUAGCAGUGAAAUGCGUAGAUAUCAGGAGGAAUACCGAUGGCGAAGGCAGGUCUCUGGGCUGACACUGACGCUGAUGCGCGAAAGCCAGGGGAGCGAACGGG